GCCGGGAUAGCUCAGUCGGUAGAGCARAGGACUGAAAAUCCUCGUGU
rnacentral:tRNA from 1 species